rnacentral:lncRNA from 1 species
CGUGAGGCUAAAUGAAAUCAUGCAUGGGGACUGUCUGAGGAGAAAGUAAACCCUUCUCUCACAGUGUCUUGUCUGGGAGAAGGAAUAUAUGCUUGUUGCCUCCAUUGCUUCCAUGUCAACCACAUGAUGUGUGCAGCGCGGAUCUCAUCUGACACCUGAGGACACAGGACUCUGGGAGAUUUAAAUCCUCAGGAAAAAGGUUAGGAAAACACAGAACUGGUACCCAAGCUGAGGUCCUGUGGCCCCAUUGCCACUGAGGGAGAGCAGGAGGAAGGAGGAGGUUGCAGCUGAUCUUCCAAGGUCCCCUGAAGUCCACUCUGGCAAACAGCUCUCCUAUUUGUGAAACCAGGUGAGGGAUGGCAUGUGGCCAAGCUGUGGACACCACCUGUGUUCAGCUCCCU